GGAAUAUGAAAGCCGUGCAGCUGUUAAUACUGUGGUUCUUCAUCCAAAUCAGACUGAACUAAUAUCUGGUGAUCAAAAUGGAAAUAUACGUGUGUGGGAUCUCACUGCCAAUUCAUGCAGUUGUGAGUUGGUGCCAGAAGUAGACACUGCUGUGAGAUCUCUGACAGUGAUGUGGGAUGGUACCAUGGUUGUUGCCGCAAAUAAUAAUGGAACUUGCUAUGUGUGGCGCUUGAUCAAGGGAACUCAGACAAUGACCUACUUUGAACCGUUGCACAAAUUGCAAGCGCAUAAUGGAUAUAUCUUAAAAUGUCUGCUUUCACCAGAAUUUUGUGAUCCUCAGAGGUAUCUUGCCACUACAUCUUCUGAUAACACUGUCAAGAUAUGGAAUGUGGAUGGCUUCACCUUGGAAAA
rnacentral:misc_RNA from 1 species